UGGUCAGGACCCCCAUGGACCCUCACAGAGCAGUGAUGAAGCUGAAGCUCCAGCUCACUCCACCUUUCUAGAAAACUCUCCUCUAUGAUAAGUUUGAUAAAUGUGCUGUUAAUGUGAGACGAUCCAUCGCCGAACAAGUUUAAAAUUAUGUUCAUCUGUCUCUUAGUGUCUUGGUUUUGUGAUAAAUUAAUAAAUGUUUUAAACUGGCA